UAUUAGAUGAGCCUAUAUUAGAUUAGCUAGUUGGUGGAGUAAUAGCCUACCAAGGCAAUGAUCUAUAGCUGAUCUGAGAGGAUGAUCAGCCACACUGGAACUGAGAUACGGUCCAGACUCCUACGGGAGGCAGCAGUGGGGAAUAUUGGACAAUGGGCGAAAGCCUGAUCCAGCCAUGCCGCAUGAGUGAAGAAGGCCUUUGGGUUGUAAAGCUCUUUUAGUGAGGAAGAUAAUGACGGUACUCACAGAAGAAGUCCUGGCUAACUCCGUGCCAGCAGCCGCGGUAAUACGGAGAGGGCUAGCGUUAUUCGGAAUUAUUGGGCGUAAAGGGCGCGUAGGCUGAUUAAUAAGUUAAAAGUGAAAUCCCGAGGCUUAACCUUGGAAUUGCUUUUAAAACUAUUAAUCUAGAGAUUGAAAGAGGAUAGAGGAAUUCCUGAUGUAGAGGUAAAAUUCGUAAAUAUUAGGAGGAACACCAGUGGCGAAGGCGUCUAUCUGGUUCAAAUCUGACGCUGAAGCGCGAAGGCGUGGGGAGCAAACAGGAUUAGAUACCCUGGUAGUCCACGCUGUAAACGAUGAAUGUUAAAUAUGGGAAGUUUACUUUC
rnacentral:rRNA from 1 species